UCAUUNAGAGGAAGUAAAAAGUCGUAAACNAGGGUNUCCGGUAGGUGACCUGCGGAGGAUCAUUA
rnacentral:rRNA from 1 species